ACUAUACUCUCUCCAUCUCAAAAAAUUUGUCUUAGAUUUAUCUAGAUAUGAAUGUAUCUAGUCACGUUUUAGUAUUUUGAAACAUCCAUUUCAAGACAAACCUAAGACAAAAAUUUGAAGACGGAGAAAGUACAUC
rfam:Hordeum vulgare subsp. vulgare, WGS project CAJW01000000 data, contig: morex_contig_1575121